rnacentral:rRNA from 1 species
UAGCCAUGCAUGGUCUAAGUAUAAGCGACUAUACUGUGAAACUGCGAAUGGCUCAUUAAAUCAGUUAUGGUUUAUUUGAUGGUACCUACUACUUGGAUAACCGUAGUAAUUCUAGAGCUAAUACAUGCAGGAAGACCCGACUCACGAAGGGUUGUAUUUAUUAGAUAAGAAACCUUCCCCUUUGGGUUGCGUGCCGAGUCACAAUAACUGCUCGAAUCGCAUGGCUUCACGCCGGCGAUGGUUCAUUCAAAUUUCUGCCCUAUCAGCUUUCGAUGGUAGGAUCGAGGCCUACCAUGGCGUUUACGGGUAACGGAGAAUUAGGGUUCGAUUCCGGAGAGGGAGCCUGAGAGAUGGCUACCACAUCCAAGGAAGGCAGCAGGCGCGUAAAUUGCCCGAAUCCUGACACAGGGAGGUAGUGACAAGAAAUAACAAUACAGGGCUACAUCUAGUCUUGUAAUUGGAAUGAGUACAAUUUACAUCUCUUCACGAGGAUCAAUUGGAGGGCAAGUCUGGU